rnacentral:tRNA from 1 species
GGAGAAAUGGCAGAGCGGUUGAAUGCACUAGUCUUGAAAACUAGCAUACUGAAAGGUAUCGGGGGUUCGAAUCCCUCUUUCUCCG